UAAGACUACGUUUACACUAGAGCAAACGUUUCCGGAUUUGUAAAAGUAUCCGGAUUCCUUGUUUUUCAAGUAUAUGGAUCCGCGAGGCGUUUACACUGCACAGCCCGACACAGCGGUGGUCAAUAUAACGUAAAUAAUUUUAACCCUCUUAGUACUAGUGAUAUUAUGCGAUGUUUUGACCCUGUUUGGCGGUUGAAUUUAUUAGCAAUACAUUUGAAAAACAUACACCGGAACAAAUUGAUUCAGAUUCUUUACGGAAAGCCGUUUACACGAGAGUUUUCUCCGGAUUCAAAUGUUUCCGGAUACAAAGUUUCUACUUUUCCCCCCGGAUUCAAAGUUUUCGGAUACGUCCUAUAACCGAGAUGAUUUUCCACCGGAUUCGUCGCUGUAUGUGUAAACGCAUGUAUGAAUCCGAUGCCAAAACGUUUCGGUUUUGUCAUGAAUCCGGAA